ensembl:lncRNA
GGAGGGAGUGGAAAGUCAUCCACUUCUAAUUGGUUUCCACUCUUGAGCAAGAGAGAAUGGGAAAUGCCAGUCUACCCCACGUGGUUAAUUCUGCAACCUGACUAGCAAUUGCUUCAUACUAAACGGGAACAAGUUUUCUUUAAUUAACAUUAAUUUCCAUUGGGAUGCCGCCACAGAGAGCUCAUUCCAGAUCCCUCAUCUCUGUGCAGAGGACCAGGAACCACAUCUGUGCUGUUCUGUGGGACUAAAGAGCCCUUGCACUUUGCAUAGGGCUCGCACACCCCUUCUUGAGGAGGCUGGCACGGGAGUUAAGGGCUGCACCAAUCAGUUCUUCACUGAACUUUAGGCUCCCGGCUGUUCCAAGUCUUUCUGACAACUUGGCAGCACCCUCUAAAACCUUCCCAGGCUGCCAGACCCUUCUCUUUGGAUCCGAUUCGGUGCUUUGAGUGCCCUCGCACACUGUCCGUGUAGAUGUGGAGGAAUACAGCUGUGUCAGGUGAAAUUUAGCAGGCUAAAACGGCAUUUGGACGCUCGAUGGAAAUAUUUCCCUUUGAAUCAUCGCAAAGCAAGAGCAGGAAGAAAUAUCACAAAAUGAAAGAAGAGUGAAGAUGAAAUCUCCGACUUGAAAAAAUACUUCCACAAAGCAGCUUGAAUAUUUCCAAGGCAAAUGCAAAGCUCUGGGUCAUCUUACAGCCCAGAGGAUGAAGUAGGAAGGAUUGUGCUGCAAGUAUAAAUUCCCCUAAGUGAGCUGCACAGAAGACUGCCACAUCUUCAUUUGCAGGGGUCUGCUGUUUGCCUGCUUCUAAGGAGCCAGAAGCUCACCUUGAACCACAGUUCUUGCAGUAAAUGAUUCUGUAGCUGCCUUGGCCUGAGAUCAACUGGCAGAGAAACCCAGCUUUGACACCCUUCAUUGAUAUGGACUGAUCCUUAUGUUGUCUGAGUUUGAAUCAAUGUUGGACAUUCCCCUAAACUGGAAAAAGAAUAGACAAAAGGCACAUUAUUUUGUCCAAAUUAACAGGCUUUUCUUUUGCUUCUAAAAUCGAUUGCACAUCCCUGUCACAGUGCUGUCAUUUCAUAUGAAGAAUGUAGCUGAAAUACUUGAUUUGCUACAGUCAAAG